UGGGGAAUUUUCCGCAAUGGGCGCAAGCCUGACGGAGCAAUACCGCGUGCGGGUGGAAGGCCCUUGGGUCGUAAACCACUUUCGGGAGGGAAGAAGCGCAAGUGACGGUACCUCCAAAAGAAGGCCCGGCCAACUACGUGCCAGCAGCCGCGGUAAUACGUAGAGGCCUAGCGUUGUCCGGAAUUAUUGGGCGUAAAGAGCUCGUAGGCGGCCCACCAAGUCGGAUGUGAAAUCUCAAGGCUCAACCUUGAAAUUGCAUCCGAUACUGAUGGGCUUGAGGCAGGUAGGGGAAGGUGGAAUUCCUGGUGUAGCGGUGAAAUGCGCAGAUAUCAGGAGGAACACCGGUGGCGAAGGCGGCCUUCUGGGCCUGUACUGACGCUGAGGAGCGAAAGCGUGGGGAGCAAACAGGAUUAGAUACCCCCGUAGUCC
rnacentral:rRNA from 1 species